UGGUCUGACCAAAGAGCAGGGUGCAAGUGGUGGAAGAUUCAAGAGGUGGACAGCAACCUUCAGAGAAACUGGGUCUUCAUCCUGACCAUUCUGUGGACUAUUAUUAAACAGUCCUCAGGUCAGCACCUCAGGUCACUGUUGUUCUUUGGUCAUUUAAUGCUCAGUUUUAUGACCCAAAAUCAAUGAAUAAAAACAGAAUAAAACAAUGAGAAAAUUUUCACCUUUAUUUAAUUAGCAGUUUUUUUUUAAAAGAUAGGUAUGUUAGAAAAGUUGCAAAAUCUGUAGGCUGCUGAUGGGCAUGUAAACUGAUGCAUUUUGCCUAAUACUUUCUACAUAUAUAUCAAAAGCCAUAACAUUCUUUGACUCAUGGUCCCGUUGCUGGAAAUUAAUCUUUUAAAUAUUUAUUUAUUUAUUUAGUAGAAACGGGGUCUUGCUUUGUUUUGUUUUGUUUUUGAGACGGAGUUUCACUCUUGUUGCCCAGGCUGGAGUGCAAUGGCACGAUCUCAACUCACAGCAAUCUCUGCCUCCCAGGUUCAAGUGAUUCACCUGGCUCAGCCUCCCGAGUAGCUGGGAUUAAAGAUCCUCUGGGCUUGCAGAUGUGGCUCACCUUCCAUAGUAAAGGCUAGCAGUUCUACAGUGCUGGAAGAUGCUAUAGAAAUCUCACCCCUGUAAGAGGUGCCACUUCAGAAUCUGCCCCCACCUCCUCUCUUGCCUGCCAAGCCAAUAACUAGGAUUGAGGUCAUGCUGGGCCUGGUCUAUGUUUCUGCCACCCUCUGUGAUGGUGAGUCUGAAGGAACUGGACUGCCUGAACACCCCACAGAACAUCACUCUGAUCUAUUACAUUGACAACAUCACGAUGAUUGGACAAGUUGAGCAAGAGAUGAGGAAGCUGAGGAUCAGAGAAGUUAAAAAAUGUCAUCCAAGAUCACAUAUCCAGAAGCUGCAGAGCCAGGACUUGAACUCAUGUCUGUCUGACUCCAGCCAUGCUUUUAAUCACUCUGCUGGGCUCAUUAGUACCUAUCAGGCCUAUGAUUGUGUCCUUAGUGAUUAGCACUUUCCCCAGAGCUGGAAAUGAGAUGCAAGAGAAAUAAAAACGCUUGAGAUCUAAACUGAAAUGCAGAAAUUCUCUGUUAUCUACUAGGUACAAAGGAGGCCUUGACUAGGUGCUUUGUGUGUGUUGAGGUUGUAAGUGCUGUGGAAAUAGAAUUUGGAGGAAGACAGACAGAAUUACACAUGAUUGACAAUAAUAAAUACAAACCUAUAUGAUACAACAUGUUAUUGCUCUACAUAAGAUAACUGGGGAAAAAUAAGUACUGAAUGAGAAUGAGAAGAUGAAGAUUUCAAUCCAGUUUUUGCCACAUACCAAAUGUAGCACUAGAUCAAUGAGGGUCUCAACAGGCAACAGGGGGUUCAAAUAAAAGAUUCAAUGAAAGAACUACUUUGAGAAAUAUUAAGAAGGGUUAGGGGUGGAGGUUGGUAAUGCACCCAGACACUAGCAACAGUGGAAGCUGAUAGCACCCCUAGGAUGGAAAGAUUCUUACUCUUUCUUUAAGAUUCUUUAAGAAUCUAGGGUAAGAUUCUUACUCUUACCCUAGGGGAGGUAAGAGUAAGAAUGGGCAUCAUAGAACAAGGGCCACCAAACAAGAGCUGUACUUGUGGAGAGGUACUGUUACUACCAGACACAUGGCCCUGAACCUGGGAGAGGGCAGGGAAGAAAGACCUGGACUUCCACCUUGUGCUUUCUGAUGUGCUGGGAACUUCCAAUGCUAAGCCCUCAGAAGCCACCCUGACAAGGAACUAAUGAGACAUUUUCUACAGGGGUCUGUCCCAGUUGGAGCUUGGAUCUGAGGAAAGGGGAUGGAAAAUCACCUUCGGCAAGUCACUUUUCCUCUCUAAAUUUCAGUUUGCUCAUCCCUUGUUUAUUGCCUACCAUAUUAUCAAUAAUAUAAAUAGUUGGCCUUAUAAUUUUUACUUCGAAUUUUUUUGAAAAACCUCAAAUUUACAAAGAAUUUGUAAGAAUAGUACCAUGAAUACACACAUAUUCUUUCACCUAGAUUCACCAAUUGUUAAAAUUCCAUCACUGCUGUUUAAUUCUUUUUAUCUUUCUCUGCUAACACAGACACAUAUUUUUGCUGAACCUUCUGAGAGUACUUGCUGACAUUCUGACACUUAAACCUCGAAUACCUAAGUAUUAUCUAUAAACAAGGAUGGUUCUCUACAUAACCCCAGUACGAUGAUCACAUUCAGGAAAUUAAACAUUAAGGCAAUGCUAUUAUGAAAUAUAGGCUAUACUCAAAUUUCCCCAGUUUCUCAGUAAUCUGCUUUGUAUUAUUUUUUUCAAUCAAUAAUAACACAUUAAAUUCUGUCAUCAUGUCUCUAUUUUCUCCUUUAAUCUAGAAUGGUUUUCCAGGCUUUUCCCUUUUUAAUCUUUUGUGAUGUUAACAUUUUUGAAGAAUCUAGACCAGUUAUUUUGCAGAAUAUGGAUUUGUCUGAUUAUUUCUUCAUGCUUAGAUUCAGUUAAAACAAUUUUGGCAAUAACUACACAAAGUUGUUGUGUCCUUCUCAGUGUAUUGUAUCUGGAGGUACCCUAUGUCAGAACACUCCAUCACAGUAAUCUUCAGUUGGGAUCACUUGGUUAAAGCAGUAUCUGCUAGAUUUAUCAAUUAUCUUUUCCCUAUUAUAAUUAUCAAGUAAUCUGUGGGGUGGUAUAUGUGAAUAUAUCUUUUCUCACCAAGAUUCUUUUACCCAGCAUUUUUUUUACAACCAUUUGAAUUUUCUUGCUAUGACAGAAUUAGUUUCAUAAGAGCAUAAUUAAGGAAUCUGGUAAGACGUCUUUGAAAGUUCUAAUUACAACCCUCAUCUCUUCUUAUGUUAAACUGUCUUCAUUCAUUUACCUACUUAUUUAACAAAUGUUUAAAGAAUGCUCGUUUUGUGGCUUGGCCUGUGACAUUUUCAUCAGUGGCUUCAUAGUUGCCUAAACUAAUGUCUCUUCCUGUGCUCCAGAAUCCUAUUGGCAACUAUUUUCCAUGGAUGCCAUAAACUCAACAUACUCAGAUGAAAGCUGUCAUUUCACUUUCUCACCUGCUCUUCCUGUUAUUUAUUCCAGUAAAUUGCACCUCUGUCUUCUCAUUGACCCUAUAAUAAGAAAGUCCUAUUUAUUGAGUGGCUAUCUGUUACAAUAGGCCUUUUAUACAUGUUACAUGCAUUAUCUCAUUUAAUCUUUUCAAUAAUCUUGAGAAUUAGAUGCCAUUAUCUGGAGGACAUUGGGCUUUGAGCCCCAGGUCAACAGUAAGCAAGUCCUCAUGCUAGGAUACAAAUCCAGUUAUCUUGGGCUUCAAAAUCUUUGCUUUAGCAUAGUGAUAAAGGUAUCACUGGCUUCAAAUCCUGGCUCUGCCACUUCCUACGGGUGAUUGGGUAAGUCACCUUAACUUUCAAUGCCUUGAUUUCCUUCUUUAUAAAAUGGGAAAAAUGAUAACUCUUGUCUUGUAGGGUUGUUAUGGACUUGAAAGAAACAAAACUUGCUGGGCGUGGUGGCUCACGCCUGUAAUCCCAGCGCUUUGGGAGGCCGAGGCGGGUAGGUCACCUGAGGUCAGGAAUUUGAGACUAGCCUGGUCAACAUGGCGAAACCCCAUCUCUACUAAAAUAAUACA